rnacentral:rRNA from 1 species
AAAUAAUGUUAUAAUUUAUUAUUAAAAAAUUUUAUUAUAUUAAAUUUAUUUUUUUAUUUAAAAUUUAUUUUAAAUUAAUUAAAAUAUUUUAUAAUGAUAAAAUUAGUAUUAUAUUAUAUUAAAUUAUAGAAUUAUUUAAAGGUAAAUUUAAGGAAUUCGGCAAAUAUAUUGUUCACCUGUUUAAUAAAAACAUGUCCUUUUGAUAAUAAUUUAAGGUCUAAUCUGCCCACUGAAUAUUAAAUGGCCGCAGUAAUUUGACUGUGCUAAGGUAGCAUAAUAAUUAGUUUUUUAAUUGAAAGCUGGAAUGAAUGAUUGGAUGAGAUAAUAACUGUCUCAAUUUUAUUUAAAAAGAAUUUUAUUUUUAAGUUAAAAAGCUUAAAUUUUAUUAAUAGACGAGAAGACCCUAUAGAGUUUUAUAAAAAAAUAGUAAUUUAAUUUUUUUUAUAAAUAAUUAUUUUUUAUUUAUUUAUUUUGUUGGGGUGACAAGAAAAUUUAAUUAACUUUUUUUUUAAUUAACAUUAAUAAAUGAUUAAAUGAUCCAUAUUAAAUGAUUAAAAGAUUAAAUUACCUUAGGGAUAACAGCGUAAUUUUUUUUAGAGUUCUUAUCGAAAAAAAAGAUUGCGACCUCGAUGUUGGAUUAAAGUAAAAUUUUGGUGUAGAAGCUGAUUUUUUAAGUCUGUUCGACUUUUAAUACUUUACAUGAUCUGAGUUUAAACCGGUGUAAGCCAGGUUGGUUUCUAUCUUUAAUUAAUUAAAAUAUUUUAGUACGAAAGGACCAAAUAUUUAAUAAAUUAUUUAUUUUUAUUGAA